AAACAAUGUAAAAUGUUAAUAUUAAGAAACACAAACGCAACUAGUGUGAAAAAAAUGAAAUAUGUGUAUAUAAUCAGUAGUUUAAUGAUGUUCAAAACACAUCAAUCCAUAAAAUACAAAUCAAGGUAUAAACAAAUCCCGUGAAUUCUAAGAUGAGCGACCGGCAACCGAGUGUUGACGUCGCUUGAAUUUGACGGUUGCGGUAGACCUUAGUUUUUAAACGGCGUUUCACAAAUGAAUUCAAGUUUUUGAUUUUUUUUCGAAAGUAUAUGCUCAUCAUACUGGGUGGUUGCGCAAGCAAAAUUAAUAGUCAAGUAAUUUGAUAUCAAAUAGAAACUGUCCUGCUUUUGAAUCAGAGUAAUGCAUAAGAAAAAUACGUUCAUGAUUUUACACGAUUUGAAAUUUUACAAUAGCAAAUUACAUCUAUAAAAAAUAUAAACGUAUAAAACUAGUACGUUGGUGAUACCCUAUGGUCUUAUCUAACAGUCGAUCCGCAUAUAAUAAUUGUAUGAGGCAUAUGUAAACGAAACAGCAAGCCAAUAGCAAUAAAAAAACAUCUACAGGGCAACGGUCUUCAACCAAAGAUAUAUUUUCGAAUCGUCCAUCCGACAAUUACAGUCUGAUACCCAAAUGCGCC
rnacentral:lncRNA from 1 species